GUUCAAUGUAUAUAAAGGCAAGCAAUAGGGGAGGCUAGACAAUGCAAAGCAGGGAUAAGACUUUGCAAAUCGAAUCUCUCCAGAAUUCACAAGUUUGGGAUGUUUCAUGAGAUAGGUCAAUAAAGGAAGAAAAUUGAGUAGAAAAAUAUAAAUUAUAGAGAAAGCCUGCCACCAUAUGGAGAUAAUGUCAAGGAAUGCAAUGACUUCCAAAGCGAAAGUGUUCAGAACUGCCUAUACACACACAAGAAUAACUCCUUGAAGCAAAAUAGCCUCCCCCCUUGUUUGUUCCAGUGGAAAGAAGAAUUAUA
rnacentral:misc_RNA from 1 species